UACGUAGGUGACCAGCGUUGUCCGGAUUUACUGGGCGUAAAGAGCGCGCAGGCGGUCGUUCAAGUCGAGUGUGAAAGCCCCCGGCUCAACUGGGGAGGGUCAUUCGAUACUGAUCGACUCGAAGGCAGGAGAGGGAAGUGGAAUUCCCGGUGUAGUGGUGAAAUGCGUAGAUAUCGGGAGGAACACCAGUGGCGAAGGCGACUUCCUGGCCUGUUCUUGACGCUGAGGCGCGAAAGCUAGGGGAGCAAACGGGG
rnacentral:rRNA from 1 species